AUGGAAUGCAUAAAUGAACAAACUGAUGUGGUUCCAAACAACCCUGGCUGGGAAAGAAUAAGGACACGAUUCUUGAUGUUGGUCUUUGCGGGAAAAGGUACCCGCCUGCCGUCCUUUUAUGACUGUCUGGAAGAAGGUGAUAAGGGAGCAGAGUCUUCAGGUCUUCGCUGGACUGCAGCCUCUCACCCGCCCUACCUCUUGCCCCCUGGUGUAGAGGUGGCGCCUACAGGUACCUGGUCUGAUUGCCAAGCAGCCAAGGAGGCCCCUGGGCGUGUUUGGAGGCUGGAGCCAUCAGCCUCAGGUGAGCUCCAAGCGCUUUACCAAAGCCGCUCCCAGGUCAGGGGGAGGGUCAGACCCUGCCCAGCUCCCUGCCCACUCUGCCCAGGUGAGCUGUGUGUGUGUGAAGAGGUGGUUCUGGAGGAUUCCAGCUCUGGCACGUAAACUCCAGAGGGGCCGGGAUAAGGUGUUUUAUUGGAUUCACUGUGCACAGUGCCUGGUGCCUGCUUGGGCCAGGGCAGGUGUGCAGGUAUUGAGUUGGUGUCAGAUGAUGAGCCUUCUUCAGUGGCUCUGUGACAAGGAGGGAAAUUGGCCCAAGGGCUCUCCUGGUCACACCUCCCCAAAUUCACACAUGCUUUCCAGCUAUUAUUUCAUUCAUUCAGUUAUUCGGUGAUGACUUACUAUGUACCCACUCUAUUAAUUAUACAUUGCUGAGUCACAAACUGGCGAACUUAGUGGCUUAAACAACACUCAUUAUUUCCUGGUUUCUCUGGGUCAGGAAUGGGCACCACUUUUCUGGGUGCUCUGCUUAGGGAUCUCACAGGCUGCAAUCAAGGUGUCAGUGAAAACUGGGGUCUCAUCUGAAGGCUUGACUGGGGAAUGACCUGUUGCCAAGCUCACUCACAUGGUGCUUGACAGGAUUUGGUUUUUGGGGGGUGGUCCUGCUGAGAGCCUCAGUCCCUAGCUGGCUAUUGGCUCAGGGGCAAUUUCAGUACCUUGUCAUAGGGGUCCCCCCAGCAUGUUCUUUUUUUUUUUGUCUUUUUGGCAUUUUCUUAGGCUGUUCCCAUGGCAUAUGGAGGUUCCCAGGCUAAGGGUCGAAUCAGAGCUGUAGCUGCCAGCCUACGCCAGAGCCACAGCAAUGUGGGAUCCGAGCCGCAUCUGUGACCUACACCAUAGCUCACGGCAAUGCCGGAUCCUUAACCCACUGAGCAAGGCCAGGGAUUAAACCUGCAACCUCAUGGUUCCUAGUCAGAUUCGUUAACCUCUGAGCCACGUGGGAACUCCAUAACUUUGUCAAGUUUAGCAAAGGAGAUAGUCUUCUAGCAAGGUGGAAGCAGACUGCAGCACCAGGAUGCAGGAUCCAGUGUUGCAGCAGCUACGACUUGGAUCUGAUCCCUGGCCUGGGAACUGCAUAUGCCAAGGGGUGGCCAAAAAAAAAAAAAACAACGAAAAGAUGGAAGUGUAAAUUUUUAUAACAUAAUCAUGAAUCAACACUCCAUCAAUUUUGAGGUGUUCUAUCGAUGAGAAGCAGGUGACCAAAGGGGAAGGAAUUACACAAGAUGGUGCACCAGGAGAUAAGGUUCUUUGGGGUCAUCUCAGGAGGUGCCUACUUCAGGGGAUUUUGGGGGACAAACUCUAAGAUGAUCCCCAGUGACCCCCAUCUCCUGGUAUUCACGUCACGUAUGAAUACCGCCCCCCAAGCCCCCAGGUGUGGAUGGGACCUCUGACUUGAUUCUCAGCAAUAAAACA
rnacentral:lncRNA from 1 species